CCUGUAGCAUGAUGUACAGUUCCUGUAGCCAUGGGUUGUCUCCCUUGGCUCACUGCCGAUCAUGUAGACCAUCUGGUCCAUGUUGAGCACUAUUCCAGGUGUAUGACUUGGUCCUAUACAUUCUAUCCUUAUGGUCUCUCCAUCCAUAUUUCUUAGUAAUUACAAACUCUAGAUAGAAAUAACUUCAAAAUUGCGUUCGUCUUGUGGAAAUAUUGUCUCCAUAAACAACCAUACUGACUUCAUAAAGAUUACAACAGAACAACUGCUUAUGUCCGUGAUGGGAGAUGAGCUUGGGACUUUUGGCAAGAUGGUCAGUUGUUGAUAUCACGUGGAGAAGAUUCAAUACAGUCACCAGCUGUAUCGACAGCAUCAGGUAGACUGGUCAUCAGUAAAUAGCAGAGGAACCCUAAAGUUCUGUGGUUUUAUCUUAGGGUCCACCGCCUGGCCCUCGAACUCGGAGGAUAUGCUCUCAUAAACAGACUGCCCCAUCGAGCUAUUGUGCUGUGUGUCAUUUAUUCAUCGUAUUGUGUAUCAUAAACCCAUUGUUCUGUGUAUCACACAUCAGUUGUCUUUGUGUAUCAUACAUCAGUUGUCUUUGUGUAUCAUACAUCCAUUGUGCUGUGUAUCAUACAUCCGUUAUCCUGUGUAACAUACAUCCGGUUGUUUUGUACAUGAUUGUAUAUGCUUCUUCCAUUGUAUAUUUUAUCUCGAUAUUGAUGUUUAUCAUUAUAAAGUCUCAUGACAUGAGCGGCAUUAAAUGUGAUUAAAACUAA